AACGCGAAGAACCUUACCUGGGCUCGAAGCGCAGUGGACCGGGGUAGAAAUAUCCCUUCCCCUUAAAAGGCUGCUGCGUAGGUGCUGCAUGGCUGUCGUCAGCUCGUGUCGUGAGAUGUUGGGUUAAGUCCCGCAACGAGCGCAACCCUUAUCCCUAGUUGCCAUCGGGUCAAGCCGGGCACUCUAGUGAAACCGCGCAGGAUAACUGCGAGGAAGGUGGGGAUGACGUCAAGUCCUCAUGGCCUUUAUGUCCAGGGCUACACACGUGCUACAAUGGCCGGUACAAACCGUCGCAAACCCGUGAGGGGGAGCUAAUCGGAAAAAGCCGGCCUCAGUUCGGAUUGGAGUCUGCAACUCGACUCCAUGAAGCUGGAAUCGCUAGUAAUCGCGGAUCAGAACGCCGCGGUGAAUACGUUCCCGGGCCUUGUACACACCGCUCGUC
rnacentral:rRNA from 1 species